rnacentral:misc_RNA from 1 species
GUGAAUCAUCAAAUUUUUGAACGCAAAUUGCACUCUCUUCGGAGAGUAUGCCUGUUUGAGGGUCAGCCUAAAAAAAAAUCGACAUAGUCGCUGUUUCGCGGUGACUUUCGUCGGAAUUUGGGUCAUCUUAAACCUUUGGGUUUUACGCGGCUUAAAAUUUUCUUUACUAUUCCACAAAUGUUUCUAAGUUUUACUUUUUAUACUUUUAAUGUAUCGAUCUUUUU